rnacentral:rRNA from 1 species
GAUGAACGCUGACAGAAUGCUUAACACAUGCAAGUCGACUCGAGUCUUCGGACUUGGGUGGCGCACGGGUGAGUAACGCGUAAAGAACUUGCCUCUUAGACCGGGACAACAUCUGGAAACGGAUGCUAAUACCGGAUAUUAUGGUUUUUUCGCAUGGAGGAAUCAUGAAAGCUAGAUGCGCUAAGAGAGAGCUUUGCGUCCCAUUAGCUAGUUGGUGAGGUAACGGCCCACCAAGGCAAUGAUGGGUAGCCGGCCUGAGAGGGUGAACGGCCACAAGGGGACUGAGACACGGCCCUUACUCCUACGGGAGGCAGCAGUGGGGAAUAUUGGACAAUGGACCGCAAGUCUGAUCCAGCAAUUCUGUGUGCACGAUGACGUUUUUCGGAAUGUAAAGUGCUUUCAGUCGGGAAGAAGUCAGUGACGGUACCGACAGAAGAAGCGACGGCUAAAUACGUGCCAGCAGCCGCGGUAAUACGUAUGUCGCAAGCGUUAUCCGGAUUUAUUGGGCGUAAAGCGCGUCUAGGCGGCAAGGAAAGUCUGAUGUGAAAAUGCGGAGCUCAACUCCGUAUGGCGUUGGAAACUGCCUUACUAGAGUACUGGAGAGGUAGGCGGAACUACAAGUGUAGAGGUGAAAUUCGUAGAUAUUUGUAGGAAUGCCGAUGGGGAAGCCAGCCUACUGGACAGAUACUGACGCUAAAGCGCGAAAGCGUGAGUAGCAAACAGG